rnacentral:rRNA from 1 species
UGCAGUCUAGGAGAAGUUGUCUUCGGAUGAUUAUUAAACUGGCGAACGGGUGAGUAACGCGUAGGCAACCUACCUUUAAGUUUGGAAUAAUCUCGGGAAACUGGACUAAUACCGAAUAAGGUAUUCAUGCAUAAGUGUGGAUAUUAAAGUGGCUUCGGCCACGCUUUUGGAUGGGCCUGCGUCUGAUUAGCUUGUUGGUGAGGUAAUGGCUUACCAAGGCUACGAUCAGUAGCUGGUCUGAGAGGAUGAUCAGCCACACUGGGACUGAGAUACGGCCCAGACUCCUACGGGAGGCAGCAGUGGGGAAUAUUGCGCAAUGGACGAAAGUCUGACGCAGCAACGCCGCGUGAUCGAUGAAGCUUUAAGGAGUGUAAAGAUCUGUCCUAGGGGAAGAAUAAGUUGGAGAGGUAAUGCUUCAACUCUGACGGUACCUUAGAAGAAAGCGCCGGCUAACUUCGUGCCAGCAGCCGCGGUAAUACGAGGGGCGCAAGCGUUAUCCGGAUUUAUUGGGCGUAAAGGGGGCGCAGGCGGAAAAUCAAGUUGGAACUUAAAGACCUUGGCUUAACCAAGGGAGUGGUUCCAAAACUGGUUUUCUAGAGUUCGAGAGAGGGAAGUGGAAUUCCUGGUGUAGCGGUGGAAUGCGUAGAUAUCAGGAGGAACACCGGUGGCGAAGGCGGCUUCCUGGCUCGAUACUGACGCUGAGGCCCGAAAGCGUGGGUAGCAAACAGGAUUAGAUACCCUGGUAGUCCACGCCGUAAACGAUGAGAACUUGGUGACGGAGGCUUCAUCCCCUUCGGUGCCGUAGCAAAUGCGUUAAGUUCUCCGCCUGGGGACUACGGUCGCAAGGCUGAAACUCAAAGGAAUUGACGGGGGCCCGCACAAGCGGUGGAACAUGUGGUUUAAUUCGAUGCAACGCGAAGAACCUUACCUGGCCUUGACAUGUUAGUGAAAGUUCCGUGAAAGCGGAAUCCUCUGAGAGCUUGCUCGAUGACACUAUCACAGGUGGUGCAUGGCUGUCGUCAGCUCGUGUCGUGAGAUGUUGGGUUAAGUCCCGCAACGAGCGCAACCCCUUUCCUUAUUUGCCAUCAGGUUAAGCUGGGCACUAUAAGGAUACUGCAUGCGUUAAGCAUGAGGAAGGUGGGGAUGACGUCAAGUCAGUAUGUCCCUUACGGCCAGGGCUACACACGUGUUACAAUGACCGGUACAGAGGGCUGCGAAAUCGCAAGGUCAAGCUAAUCCCUUAAAACCGGUCUAAGUUCGGAUUGAAGUCUGCAACUCGACUUCAUGAAGUUGGAAUCGCUAGUAAUCGCGGAUCAGCACGCCGCGGUGAAUACGUUCCCGGGCCUUGUACACACCGCCCGUCACGCCACGGAAGUUGGUAGUGCCGUAAGCCAGUCGCCUAACCCUUCGG